CCGGCGGGCGGGCACCGGGGCACCGGCGUCCGUGCGCCGGCACAGCUAGGCCGCUGGGCCCGGAAACCCGCUGCAGCUUCGCAUAAAGGCACGAAGCCGCCUUUCGUCCUUGGAGGUGCUCGCAGAGGGAAGCAAACAGCAGUAAAACAGUGGGGAGCAAUAAACAGCGCAGUGCUGCCCGUCAUCUCGUGCUUGUGCCGCGAGUAGCUGUGAGGUCGUUUAUCCUGAGUAGAACUCGGGGAGGGAUCAAGGUGCCGCCGCAGGGGAGUUAGGCAAGCAGAAGAGCAAACACGGGGCCAGAGUUGAGAGCUUUUAGGGUUUUCCCCUGAUCCCGACUGGUCUGCUCUCCUUUAUCAGGAAGGGGGGAAGGAGACCCCCACCCCAAGCCUGCCCCGUGGCCUCCCCUACGGCCACCCGGGGCACGUUUCCCUCCCACGGUGGUAUAACCUCCUCCUGAUGUCUGCCGUGUGACAGUGGCCUGGCCGGUCGAUCACAGAUGCACCUGCGGUUAAAAGUCUUUAUUGCUUCCUCGUGCUUCUGGGGGAGGAAUCCUGUUCCUCAGCCCCAGCCAGGUCUGUGGAGAGUCAUACAGUGACUGUGUGGAAGACUCGUGGAGGAAAACCAGUCAUCCCAGCAAGAGGAGGUGAUUUACCAUCAGGGGACCUUGGGACCCUGUGACAGUUUGCUUUCUCACCGUCCUGCUCCAAGAAAGGCAAUGCUUUUGAAACCACGUGCUUUUGCUUAUUUGUUCCAAACCUGAGCAUGUAAAUAAAGACUGGUUUGAGCUGUUUAA